GGCCGGUGUAACACACGUGGAGUCUGAACCCUGAAAUUCUGGCUCAGCUGAGCGACCCUGCAGAAGCAACUUAACCGCCGAACCUCCGAUUCUGCGUCUAUAAAAUAAAGAAGGUAGCUUCUGAAGAAUUACACAGAAAUGCUCACAGCAGAGCACCACGGAGAAUGUCAAAUCAUCUAUACAACCUAAUCCUUUUGAGUUCUAAGAAGAUGUGCAUAGAAAUCAAGAACUAAAAUAAAGUAUGCCGAAACAGUAACA